UGACAGGAGUGGGGGUGGUUCCAGUGGAGGUGACAUCUGUGGAGGUGGCACCAGUGGAGGUGACAGCAGUGGAGGUGACAGCAGUGGAGGUGACAUCUGUGGAGGUGACAGCAGUGGAAGUGACAGCAGUAAAUGUGGCAUCUGAAGUGGAGACAGCAGUGGAAGUGACAUCAGUGGAGGUGACAGCAGUGGAGGUGACAGCAGUGGAGGUGACAUCUGAGGAAGUGACGUCUGUGGAGGUGACAUCUGUAGGAGUAAUAGCAGAAGAGGUGACAUCUGUGGAGGUGACAUCAGUGGAGGUGACGCCAUUGGAGGUGACAGCAGUGGAAGUGACGCCAGUAGAGGUGACACCUGUGGAGGUGACAGGAGUGGGGGUGGUUCCAGUGGAGGUGACAUCUGUGGAGGUGGCACCAGUGGAGGUGACA
rnacentral:lncRNA from 1 species